GCAGCCAUUUAAUGGGGUCUUGUUAAAAUACAGAUUCCUAUGGGUUCUGCAUUUCUAAAAAGUUUCCAGGUAAUGCUAAU
rnacentral:pre_miRNA from 1 species